AGUAACUGCAGCGAGGAAGCCACAUCAGAGGCCUCCUGCCUUCAGCAUGGGAUAGACAGGAUUGCGGAGAAGGGAGGAGUUCAGAUGGCCAGAUAAGAAUAGCUCCAGUCUGCAGCUCCCAGCAUGAUCCACGCAGAAGAUGGGUGAUUUCUGCAUUUCCAACUGAGCCUCCGCUGGUGAUACCCAGGCAAACAGGGUCUGGCAUGGACCUUCAGCAAACUCCAACCGACCUGCAGCUGAGGGACCUGUUAGAAGGAAAACUAACAAACAGAAAGGAAUAGCAUCAACAUCAACAGAAAGGACAUCCACACCAAAACCCCAUCUGUAGGUCACUAACAUCAAAGACCAAAGAGAGAUAAAACCACAAAGGUGGGGAGAAACCAGAGCAGAAAAGCUGAAAAUUCUAAAAACCAGAGCACCUCUUCUCCUUCAAAGGAUCGCAGCUCCUCACCAGCAAUGGAACAAAGCUGGAUGGAGAAUGAUUUUGAUGAGCUGAAGGCUUCAGAAGGUUGGUAAUAACAAACUUCUCUGAGCUAAAGGAGGAGGAUGUUUGAAACCAUUACAAGGAAGCUAAACACCUUGAAAAAAGAUUAGACGAAGGGCUAACUAGAAUAAGCAGUGUAGAGAAGACCUUAAAUGACGUGAUGGAGCUGAAAACCAUGGCAUGAGAACUAUGUGUUGCAUGCACAAGUUUCAAUAGCCAAUUCGAUCAAGUGGAACAAAGGGUAUCAGUGAUUGAUGAUCAAAUUAAUGAAAUAAAGGGUGAAGAGAAGUUUAGAGAAAAAAGAGUAAAAAGAAAUGAACAAAGCCUCCAAGAAAUACAAGACUACGUGAAAAGACCAAAUCUACAUUUGAUUGGUAUACCUGAAAGUGAUGGGGAGAAUGGAACCAAGUUGGAAAACACUCUUCAGGAUAUUAUCCAGGAGAACUUCCCCAACCUAGCAAGGCAGGUCAACAUUCAAAUUCAGGAAAUACAGAGAACACCACAAAGAUACUCCUUGAGAAGAGCAGCCUCAAGACACAUAAUCAUCAGAUUCACCAAGGUUGAAAUGAAGGAAAAAAUGUUAAGGCCAGCCAGAGAGAAAGGUCGGGUUACCCACAAAGGGAAGCCCAUCAGAUUAACAGGAGAUCUCUCAGCAGAAACUCUACAAGCCAGAAGAGAGUGGGGGCCGAUAUUUAACAUUCUUAAAGAAAAGAAUUUUCAACCCAGAAUCACAUAUCCAGCCAAACUAAGUUUCAUAAGUGAAGGAGAAAUAAAAUCCUUUACAGACAAGCAAAUGCUGAGAGAUUUUGUCACCACCAGGCCUACCUUACAAGAGCUCCUGAAAGAAGCACUAAACAUGGAAAGGAACAACCAGUACCAGCCACUGCAAAAUCAUGCCAAAUUGUAAAGACCAUCGAUGCUAGGAAGAAACUAUAUCAACUAACGGGCAAAAUAACCAGUUAACAUCAUAAUGACAGGAUCAAAUUCACAUAUAAUAAUAUUAACCUUAAAAGUAAAUGGGCUAAAUGCGCGAAUUAAAAGACACAGACUGGCAAAUUGGAUAAAGAGUCAAGACCCAUUAGUGUGCUGUAUUCAGGAGACCCAUCUCAUGUGCAGAGACACACAUAGGCUCAAAAUAAAGGGAUGGAGGGAGAUCUACCAAGCAAAUUGAAAGCAAAAAAAAAAA
ensembl:lncRNA novel transcript